UAGGGAAUCUUCCGCAAUGGACGCAAGUCUGACGGAGCAACGCCGCGUGAGUGAAGAAGGAUUUCGGUUCGUAAAACUCUGUUGUUAGAGAAGAACAGCGCAUAGAGUAACUGUUAUGCGUGUGACGGUAUCUAACCAGAAAGCCACGGCUAACUACGUGCCAGCAGCCGCGGUAAUACGUAGGUGGCAAGCGUUGUCCGGAUUUAUUGGGCGUAAAGCGAGCGCAGGCGGUCAAUUAAGUCUGAUGUGGAAGCCCCCGGCUCAACCGGGGAGGGUCAUUGGAAACUGGUUGACUGAGGUGCAGAAGAGGCGGGUGGAAUUCCAUGUGUAGCGGUAAAAUGCGUAGAUAUAUGGAGGAACACCAGUGGCGAAGGCGACUCUCUGGUCUGUAACUGACGCUGAGGCUCGAAAGCGUGGGUAGCAAACAGG
rnacentral:rRNA from 1 species